rnacentral:rRNA from 1 species
GGAAGGAUCAUUACCGAAUUGUCAACAUGAAGUUGUUGCUGGCCCUCAGAUGGGGGCAUGUGCACACUCUGUUUACACAUCCACUCACACCUGUGCACUCCUCUGUAGUACUGUGGUCUGGGGGUUCUGUCCUCCUACUGUGGUUCUGCGUAUUUAUACACACACACUGUAAUAAAGUCUCAUGGAAUGUAUGCCGCGUUUAACGCAAUGAAAUACAACUUUCAGCAACGGAUCUCUUGGCUCUCGCAUCGAUGAAGAACGCAGCGAAAUGCGAUAAGUAAUGUGAAUUGCAGAAUUCAGUGAAUCAUCGAAUCUUUGAACGCACCUUGCGCCCUUUGGCUAUUCCGAAGGGCAUGCCUGUUUGAGUAUCAUGAACACCUCAACUCUCAUGGCUUGCCAUGAUGAGCUUGGACUUGGGGGUUUUGCUGGCCCUACAGUCAGCUCCCCUCAAAUGCAUCAGCUUUCCAGUUUUUGGUGGCACCACAAGUGUGAUAAACAUCUACACGUGUGGUUCCCCACCAUGUAACCUUCAGUGAUGGAGGUUUGCUGGAGCUCACAAAUGUCUUUCCUCAGUGAAGACAGUUCUUUGAUUGUUUGAUCUCAAAUCAGGUAGGACUACCCGCUGAACUUAAGCAUAUCAAUAAGCGGAGGAAAAGAAACUAACAAGGAUUCCCCUAGUAACUGCGAGUGAAGCGGGAAGAGCUCAAAUUUAAAAUCUGACGUGCCUCUGGUCGUCCGAGUUGUAGUCUGGAGAAGUGUUUUCCGUGUUGGACCGUGUAUAAGUCUCUUGGAACAGGGCGUCAUAGAGGGUGAGAAUCCCGUCUUUGACACGGACUACCAAUGCUUUGUGAUGCACUCUCAAAGAGUCGAGUUGUUUGGGAAUGCAGCUCAAAAUGGGUGGUAAAUUCCAUCUAAAGCUAAAUAUAGGCGAGAGACCGAUAGCGAACAAGUACCGUGAGGGAAAGAUGAAAAG